AAAAGAAAGAAAAAAAAAAGAUAGAAAGGAAGAAAACAAAGCAAACGAAACAGAGAGCAGGGGAAGGAAAGAGAGAAAAAAAGAAAAGAAAGAAGAAAAGGGGAAAAUUGAAGGUGUGAUGCUUGGAAGUUUAAUAGCUAAAAACGCCAUAGGAGGGUUCUCUAAGCUGGUAUUUCAUAAGUUUUGCACCAAAUCCAGAAGAUUCAAAUACGAAGCUAGAUCGAGGAAAGGAAAAAGUUCGGGAUUAGUAGAUUUUUACUGUUUACAAACAAGUAUCAAGGUAAGUUCGUGUAACUUGAAUUAUAUUCUUAAAUGCUUGAAAUGCAUGUUUUUGAUAUGAAUAUGAUUUGAAUGUUCAUUAUAUGAAAAUUUAUGAAACAUUGAUAUAUUUGAUAAAA